rnacentral:rRNA from 1 species
UACGGAGGGUGCAAGCGUUGUCCGGAUUUAUUGGGCUUAAAGGGUGCGUAGGCGGCCUUUUAAGUCAGGGGUGAAAGCCUCCAGCUUAACUGGAGAAUUGCCAUUGAUACUGGAAGACUUGAGUACAGACGAGGUAGGCGGAAUUUAUGGUGUAGCGGUGAAAUGCAUAGAUACCAUAAAGAACUCCUAUUGCGGAGGCAGCUUACUAGGCUGUAACUGACGCUGAGGCACGAAAGCGUGGGGAGCGAACAGG